rnacentral:lncRNA from 1 species
GCCUGUAGGCUGCCUGCCAAGUUAGUUUCUCAGUGAAAUGAUGGUAACUUUUCUCACAUGGAAGCCGGCUGGAGCACUCUGUAGAUCUGCUUCCUUGUCAGAACUUGGCUGUGUUCCCUGUGAUUGAUGCCACUGCUUGAAGCUCCAUACCCCACCCACCAAGGCACAAGACGGUGGCUACAGGUGGUCCUCAAGUGCCUGUACCUUCCCCAGGGCUGGGAGAGGGGAGGGCCCACAUACCACUGCUCUGUCCCUCCCUUCUUCAACGGCAGCCAUUUGUGCAUUGAGUGUUCUGAGUGAGCGAGCAGCCACGAGUCUGGGGUGGGGCGACUUUGCCUUCACCUGAGGGGGUGCCUCACCUCAGGAAAAGGGGCUAUGCAAGAUGGCACCCCAGCUGCAGGGCAGGGUCUAUAUAUCUUGGGGCCAGCCUGUACAGUCCGCCUGGCCAGUGGGCAGUAAGGUCUGGUCAGCCGCUGUACUUGGGUUUUCUAAGAACUACAGGAAAGCUGUAACCCUCCCGGCCUUUGGUAUAGCAGCUAAUCUAUUAAAGGCAAACCCUAUCUUGAAGCUGCCCCAUUAAAUGGGUGCCUGAGCCUCUGCC